GGGACACGUGGUAUCCUGUCUGAAUAUGGGGGGACCAUCCUCCAAGGCUAAAUACUCCUGACUGACCGAUAGUGAACCAGUACCGUGAGGGAAAGGCGAAAAGAACCCCGGCGAGGGGAGUGAAAAAGAACCUGAAACCGUGUACGUACAAGCAGUGGGAGCCUCUUAAUGGGGUGACUGCGUACCUUUUGUAUAAUGGGUCAGCGACUUAUAUUCUGUAGCAAGGUUAACCGAAUAGGGGAGCCGAAGGGAAACCGAGUCUUAACUGGGCGUUAAGUUGCAGGGUAUAGACCCGAAACCCGGUGAUCUAGCCAUGGGCAGGUUGAAGGUUGGGUAACACUAACUGGAGGACCGAACCGACUAAUGUUGAAAAAUUAGCGGAUGACUUGUGGCUGGGGGUGAAAGGCCAAUCAAACCGGGAGAUAGCUGGUUCUCCCCGAAAGCUAUUUAGGUAGCGCCUCGUGAAUUCAUCUCCGGGGGUAGAGCACUGUUUCGGCAAGGGGGUCAUCCCGACUUACCAACCCGAUGCAAACUGCGAAUACCGGAGAAUGUUAUCACGGGAGACACACGGCGGGUGCUAACGUCCGUCGUGAAGAGGGAAACAACCCAGACCGCCAGCUAAGGUCCCAAAGUCAUGGUUAAGUGGGAAACGAUGUGGGAAGGCCCAGACAGCCAGGAUGUUGGCUUAGAAGCAGCCAUCAUUUAAAGAAAGCGUAAUAGCUCACUGGUCGAGUCGGCCUGCGCGGAAGAUGUAACGGGGCUAAACCAUGCACCGAAGCUGCGGCAGCGACACUAUGUGUUGUUGGGUAGGGGAGCGUUCUGUAAGCCUGUGAAGGUGUGCUGUGAGGCAUGCUGGAGGUAUCAGAAGUGCGAAUGCUGACAUAAGUAACGAUAAAGCGGGUGAAAAGCCCGCUCGCCGGAAGACCAAGGGUUCCUGUCCAACGUUAAUCGGGGCAGGGUGAGUCGACCCCUAAGGCGAGGCCGAAAGGCGUAGUCGAUGGGAAACAGGUUAAUAUUCCUGUACUUGGUGUUACUGCGAAGGGGGGACGGAGAAGGCUAUGUUGGCCGGGCGACGGUUGUCCCGGUUUAAGCGUGUAGGCUGGUUUUCCAGGCAAAUCCGGAAAACCAAGGCUGAGGCGUGAUGACGAGGCACUACGGUGCUGAAG
rnacentral:rRNA from 1 species